GCCAAAGAUCACGCCCACGUGCAAGGAUGCUCGGCGGGAGGCUGGGCUUCUAGCGUCCGGGCCGGUCCUCCCAGCUGCGGCCGCAGGCCCACGCCCCGUCCUUGCCCACACCUCCGCCCGCCGACCCAGGACACGUCUUUCCUCCGCUCCCUCGGGAUUUCAGCCCUCUGCUGGACCUGACGUCAGGAAGAACUUGAUCUUGCCUGCUUCGCUCCUGCUUCUGAAACUGAUCCUUGAAAUGAGAGAACAGACUCUACACAAUUCCCAUGGCCUUGACAUAAGGUCUCCCUAUACUAAUCUGAAGUUUAAUGGGCUCGUGGUUCCCCUACUCCCAAGUGGAGGAAGAACUUUCCUGUCCACACUUUGA
rnacentral:lncRNA from 1 species